rnacentral:rRNA from 1 species
GACGAACGCUGGCGGCGUGCCUAAUACAUGCAAGUAGGACGCAGUUGCGAACGGGUGAGUAACGCGUAGGUAACUACCUAUUAGAGGGGGAUAACUAUUGGAAACGAUAGCUAAUACCGCAUACUCGUAGAUGGACCUGCGUUGUAUUAGCUAGUAGGUAGGGUAAUGGCCUACCUAGGCAACGAUACAUAGCCGACCUGAGAUGGUGAUCGGUCAAACGGGGACUGAAACACGGCCCAGACUCCUACUGGAGGCAGGAGGAGGGAAUCUUCGGCAAUGGGGGGAAACCUGACCGCGCAACGCCGCGUGAGUGAAGAAGGUUUUCGGAUCGUAAAGCUCUGUUGUUAAGGAAGCGGUACUUAACCAGAAAGGGACGGCUAACUACGUGCCAGCCGCCGCGGUAAUUC